UCAUCAUGGACAACAAUGAUCAAUGGAGUCUUUGAGGCAAAGAGAAAACAUCUAUCUGAAACAAGGAGACAUUAGGAGGAGAAGAUGAUCUGCAGGAUCCUGCUGCUCGUCAUCCUCACCUCAUGUGUCUCUGGAUCAUUUGUAGUCAAUGUGACACAGACCUCCUAUCAGGCAGAGGAGAACCACAACAUCACACUGGAGUGGACGUUCACCACCAAACCUGACAGAUC